rnacentral:rRNA from 1 species
CACACCGCCCGUCACACCAUGGGAGUCAGUUGUACCGGAAGUCGGUUAUCCAACCCGCAAGGGGGCAGCCGCCUAUGGUAUGGCUGAUGACUGGGGUG